rnacentral:misc_RNA from 1 species
UCGCGGCUUAUCACCGGCAGUCCCCUUAGAGUGCUCAACUGAAUGUAGCAACUAAUGGCAAGGGUUGCGCUCGUUGCGGGACUUAACCCAACAUCUCACGACACGAGCUGACGACAGCCAUGCAGCACCUGCGUCCAGGUUCCCUUUCGGGCACCACUGCAUUUCUGCAGCGUUCCUGGCAUGUCAAGGGUAGGUAAGGUUUUUCGCGUUGCAUCGAAUUAAACCACAUGCUCCACCGCUUGUGCAGGCCCCCGUCAAUUCCUUUGAGUUUCAGCCUUGCGGCCGUACUCCCCAGGCGGGGCACUUAUCGCGUUAGCUACGGCACUGACGGGGUCGCUCCCCCCAGCACCUAGUGCCCAUCGUUUACGGCGUGGACUAC